rnacentral:sRNA from 1 species
AACACCCACAAACAACGUCACGACGCAACGUGGUUAAACAGUACGUUUAUUAAAGUAACUGGGUGAACGACACCGGAGCGGACUGCAAAUCGCAACGCUACUUUCUCGAGUGCAGAUACUCUUCGAGACGGCUAAACAACGUGUCCAACUCGCUGAGACCUUUCCGCGUGCCGUUAUCCGAUUUCCUUUCCGCCUCCUGAGACAGCCGACUAAUCACGGACUUAUCUCCGCAACCUAACAGAGGCUGGGAGCCCGACAAAAGUAAAACAGCGUGCUAUGAACACGUUGUUACCUCUGCGCGGACAGCGCCGCCACAGAGACACUUACGCAUUGCCGCAUGUCUUUGUAGAUGGAUUCUAGCGUCGAGCGCAUACUAUGCAAUUCCGUCUUAAGUCCGGGAUAGACGUGGUCGCCUGCGGGGAACACGAUCUCCAGAUACCGCCUCAACAACCAGUCCAUGACGCUGCAUCCCCAACAGCCUUUGACCACCGUACCGUCGAGCCACACGGAGUAGUCGUCCUCGCGUUGCUACAAGAGGAAAACUACGUCACCCGACACGCGGAAAAGAAAGACCGUCGCAAUAAACCGUACCUACGUGACCUACCAACGUAGGUUUUACUCGAUGAAAGGUGACGCGGAGAUCUUGCAAUCUGGUCGCGUAAUCCUCUGGACGACACUGCGGCUUUGUAUUCUUUAUCGUCGUCGUCGUUGCCGGCUUCGCCUCCUCGGAAGCGCCUAGAAAAAAGACAAUCAGGACCAGAGAGGAAGAGACCAUCACCGACAGCAUCGCCGCAGCAUGCCGCCCCAAUCCGCCGCCCAACUGCGCGUCCCAGAUACCACUCGUAGACUGUCAGCCUCGCGAGGAGACACCGCGGACCGGGGAAACGGAUAAGUUUACGAACAGAAAUCUCAAGAGAAAGACGCUGACCCGGCAAGUACCGUCACGGAGACACGGUGGUUUUUAUUGAAUUUCCAGUGUAUCGAGCCACCGUGAUGCAGGUACGGUGGUUUUAUGUGAAGUGCCGCUAUCUAUAGGCGAUGUGUUCCCUGACGGUGUGUGUUUUUUGGGGAUAGACAACGUGGUUCUUGUACGUGGUUUUUACCCUGCUCAAUAAAGUCACGUUUUCCUUACACGGUGUUGUGUC